UGUAACAGCAACUCCAUGUGGAAGCUCCUCCUUCCAGUGGAAGUGCUGCUA
ensembl:miRNA gmo-mir-194a gmo-mir-194a